UCUCCGUAGGUGAACCUGCGGAGGGAUCAUUACUGAGUGAGGGCUUCGGUCCGACCUCCAACCCUUUGUGAACCAAACUUGUUGCUUCGGGGGCGACCCUGCCGUCACGGCACCGGCGCCCCCGGCGGACAUCAAACACUGCAUCAUUGCGUCGGAGUUAAAGUAAAUUAAACAAAACUUUCAACAACGGAUCUCUUGGUUCCAGCAUCGAUGAAGAACGCAGC
rnacentral:misc_RNA from 1 species